GGUCAGGCCAACUUACAAUUAAAGGUCAACUGUUUUUGUACUAUUGCAUACAGUGGUGAAUUUUUUACCUCAGAAAAGGUCAUCACUUUUCCUCACCAAAACAGCAUGUGCAUUAUCACUUACAAUAUGUGACAGGGCCUAGGAAAACACCCCUUAACGCGGGUGUACCCAAGUUUAUUUUUAUUGUUGAAUCAGAUAAAGCGUUCUCUGAGCUUCAAAAUGAUACCAAGAUCGACCUCCUAGCUAUUUUCUAUCCGGAGAUAUGUUCGAGGGAACGCUACGAAGUAUUGCAACGCCCUCUUGAGUAAAUGACGCUCAAACUUCAUGAAUAAUUGAAGUUCAAUUAUUGAUUUCCGGGCACUUCCGUAUACUCAUAAAGCUUAGUAAAAGAUUUUCUGGAGAAGACGAGUUAGUUAGAUGAAGGCUAGGCAUUCUAGGACUCUCUAGCUAGCUAGUAUAGCUAUGUAGCUGGAUUGCUUAGCAUCUAGGAAGGAUCUUCGAAGAAAUAAAAAGACAAAGACUCCCGUCGCUCCAAUGGUUGUUGCGAGUGUCGGAGGCCUGAGAAACAAUAGUCUAUUGGCUAGAAUGUUGUUAUGGAGGGUUUAUGAAGACAAGUGGCACGGGAUACAUACAUCUAAAGAAACAAGAGUGGAUCUACGCCAAGCUAGCUAGCUAGAUAGCUGCUCUUUCUAAUGAAUUUCUGUUGCUAAAUUAUGUUUGUUAAGAAGUGGAGCUAUAAUAUACCUGGCUCCUCUUGAUGAUUGUAAGUACUGGGCUGAUGAAAUAGUCCUGUACAAGUUGUAAUUUUUUUUUGUUAAAAAUAAUUAACAAUAAUAGGGAAAUUCCCAGGGAAUUUCCCCUCACAUAGACAGUAAAUUUCAUUGUAAAAAAUGAACGUUCGGUGAGUUUCUUCAACGUCAGGGCUUGACCUGUUUAAAGCUUUGUAGAGAGCCAAAUUUUUACAGGUAGGUAGAGGAAGGGCUGAAGUUAGCACCUGUGAAAAAAAAAAUUUUUUGCCCAUGUUUUUCAUUUCUACUAAAUUGACCUAUAGCUUAAUUUAAUUAGUGCCGCGUUAAGGGGGGUUUUCCUAGGCCCUGUCACAUAUUUACGACCAUUACCUACCCAGCUGCAAAAAGUGGUUAGGCCAAAAUCUGGUCAGCCUGACUGCUUGCUACAGCUUUGAUCUUAUGUGCAACGUUAUGCUAUAAUUAUGUGAACAUUAUUUCUUACUCGCCCAGGUUCAGGUUCGGAAAUGUUGUGUUUGAGAUCACAUCAGGCAGAUAGAGAAGGUGGAGCUGGUCCUCCAGGACCUCCUUCAGCUGCAAUACGAGGACCUGGCAAUCAUGAAGAUGUUUGGGAGGACCAAAGUGAACGUUAAUCUGCUCAUCUUUCUCAUGAACAAAAAUCGACAGAGCGUUAAAUUGGAUUUGCCAUUAGCAAAGUGCAUGUAUUCAUUGACUAUUCACAGCAGUGCAUGAAUUAUUUAUAUCAUCUGCAUGUACUAUUGACACGUUAUUAACGACGUAAUGUUCUAACAUACUAUUAUAGUAAUU